UUUUUUUUGGGAAAAGAAAAUGAAAUUGGGGAAUGAAUACUACUUUUUUAAAUUAUUCAAACAAUCACAACCUUUUUUCAACUAUUGUCUCCACUUAUGCUAUUAAAAAGAACUUGGGGGAGUUCCCGUUGUGACUCAGCAAGUUAAGAACCCAACUAGUACCCAUAAGAAUGUGGGUUCGGGAGUUCUCGUCAGUGGUUAAUGAAUAUGACUAGGAACCACGAGGUUGCAGGUUCGAUCCCUGGCCUUGCUCAGCGGGUUAAGGAUCUGGCGUUGCCGUGAGCUGUGGUGUAGGUUGCAGACACAGCUCAGAUCCCGCGUUGCUAUGGCCCUGCUGUAGGCCAGUGGCUACAGCUCUGAUUCGACCCCUAGCCUGGGAACCUCCAUGUGCCACGAGCGGCCCUAGAAAAGGCAAAAAGACAAAAAAAAAAAGAAUGUGGCUUCUUUGAUCCCUGGCCUCGCUUGGUAGGUUAAGGAUCUGGCAUGGCCAAGAGAGCAAUGUAGGUCACAGAUGCAGCUCAGGAAUAAUCCAGCAGCUGCAGCUCAGAUUUAACCCCUAGCCUGGGAACCUCCAUAUGCUGCAGGUAGAGCCUAAAAAAAGAAAAAGAAAAACUGAGGGGGAAGAUAAAAAACAAGAAUGAUUCUCCUUGUUUCAGGCAGCCACACUAAUGACAGUGACAAAGAAGAAACAUGUAUCAGAUAUAUCCACAUUCAGCUGAAUUCAACCAAUUACUGAGUUAAGGGAGUUAAGUACAGCUCUGGUAAGCGCUGGAAGUAUAAAGAUAAAUAGGACCUUAUUUUACUUAUCUUAUUUCUUUAUUUUUAAAGAUUUUUAUAUUUUCUAUUGUAGUUGAUUUACAAUGUUCUGUCAAUUUCUGCUACACAGCACAAAGUGACCCAGUCAUACAUAUACAUACACACAUAUAUACAUUCUUUUUCUCACAUUAUCCUCUGUCAUGUUCCAUCACAAAUUCUAGAUAUAGUUCCCCUGUGCUAUACAGCAGGACCUCAUUGCUUAUCCACUCCAAAUGCAACAGUUCGCAUCUACUAACCCCAAACUCCCAACUCCUUCCCCCUUCCCCAAUAGGACCUGAUUUUAAUCUUAAAAAUGUUACAGCCCAGGAGUUCCUGUCGUGGCUCAGUGGAAAUGAAUCUGACUAGUAUCCAUGAGGACGCAGGUUCGAUCCUUGACCUCACUCAGUGGGUUAAGGAUCUGGCAUUGCCGUGAGCUGUGGUGUAGGUCACAGAUGUGGCUUGGAUCUGGCGUUGCUGUGGUUGUGGUGUAGGCCAGCAGCUACAGCUGCGAUUCAACCCCCUAGCCUGGGAACCUCCAUAUACUGCAGGUGCAGCCCUAAAAAGACAAAACAAACAAACAAACAAAAAUAUUACAGCCCAGAGAAGACAAAGACAAAUGGAUAUUUCAAUACAACAUCAUAAAUAUGAAUUAGAACUAUUGUAAUUUUUUUUAACCCAGAAGAAAAUCUACCUAAAGUAUCUUUAAGAUAUUGGAUACAGAAAAGCCAUAUCUGCAAUAUUCUGUGUGUGUGUGUGUGUGUGUGUAGGAUAUAUAUAUAAUAGGUUCCUAUUCUCAGGGAGCACACAUUCCAGCAAGAGAGAUGCACAAUAAAUCAUCACUUAAGUUGUGAUAAGAGCAAUGUAGAAAUGAAGUGCUAGCAAUAUGUCUAAUAAAGAAUCAGGGAUAGUGUGCCUGAGAAAAUGUUCAAGGUAAGAUCUGAACGUGACUAGGAGUUACAAAGACAGAAGUUAGGGAGAGGCAAAUGAAUCUGAUUUGCAAUAUUCAUAUAUAUGGAAUCAUUCAUUUUAUACAUAUAUAUAUAUAUAUCCUGACUUCCAUUUAAAGCACUUGCCAAAUCUACAGCAGAACUAUCACAUUUGAGCUCCGAAUUACUUUAUAUUGUUUAGUCCAAAACCCUCACUUUAAAGAAAACGAAUCAACCUGAAGUUCAGAGAAAUGAAACGAUUUGCCAAAUUUCCUGCAGGCAGUCUCUAGUAAAGCCAGCACUACAAAACUGAUUACUUAUUCUCACUGGAGUAUUCUUUCCACAUUUCUACACAUGAGAAAUAGGAGGAUAAAUGACACUAUGAAUUAAUUACAGCCCUAGGCCCCUUACAUAUUCCUCCGCCCCACUUAAUCAUAACACUAAGAUAUUUCUAUUUUAAAGGUAAAGAAAUAACUUGUGAGAACAAACUAAAACACCAAGUUGUUCUGCCUUAAAGCUUUGAGCUCUUUCACCACCCAAUGUUCCUUGAUUUGUUUUUGUGAUAGGUGUAUCCCUAAAAAUAUGGUAAGCUGUUGUUCUAUUAAAUCAAGAAAUAAACUCUUUACUCCAAAAGUAUAACAAUAUUUUCCUUGCAGAUCACUCAGGAAAUUAGUUUUUCUUUCCUUUGAUUCAGUUUGCCAAGCAUGACUUUUUCCCCAACUUCUACCAUAGCUCAAGCCACUUCAUUUCACACCUGUAUUAUUCCUUCUACCUAAUUGGUCUCCUAGCUCCUAAGAUUUCCUUCUCUACCUUUGCCACAUGUGAUUAAUUUUCCUGUAACACACACGUUUCAUCAUCCAUUCAAAAUAUAUUUUAAAAUACCUAUAAUAAGUGUUAAGCACCAUGCUAGGUACUGCAAGUAGAGCAAUGAUCAAAACAGACGUGCUUCCAAUAUUAUUCUCAGGAGUACAUACUCUAGCAAGAGAGAUGAACAGUGAAUCUUCACUCAAGUUGUGAUAAGGGCAAUGUAGAACUUGACGUGAUAGCAAUGUGUCUACAAAGAAUCAGGGAUAGUUUUCCUGAGAAAAUGUUCGAGGUAAGACCUAAACGUGACUAGGCAUUACAAAGACAGAGGUUGGGGAGAGACAAAAGAAUCUUAUUCACAAACCUACAGAAAGAUAGGCACAUUUGUGUUGGCAUGAAAGGUCACAUUUUAGCCACUAAUUCUUAUUUCCCAGUUCCAAUGUGGACCCUCUAAUCUAAGCAGGGAGUCUCAUGAAUAUGCUAGGCUCUUUCCUUCCAAUGUUUUAUUUAGGCUUUCUAGAAAUUUCUCUUCAUCACUUAACUAACCCUAAAAUCCAGUGCCCCUCUCCCAUCAAAACUUCAGUCAUCAACUAUAAUACUCUAUUUUAAUUGUAAUGUAGUGUAUCACAAAAAAUUUACAGGAAAACUAGAAAAUAGUGGAAUCAUCUUUUUAGUCUUCUUUUUAAAGACUGAAUACCUGGGGCAGCAUCAUCGCAUUGUUUUCUUAUCACUAAAGAGGGUACAAUGCUCAAAAACUGAUUUUAUAAAUAUCCAAACAUCCACCUGAUCCACUAUUCAUGUCCACUAUUGUCCAUUUAGUUCUAUGGUCAAUAUAGCUAUUAUUUUCACAAAUGCAAACUAUCAGUCACAAAGAUGAAACAUGUGGUAGAUAACUGCAAAUCCCAAGACCUUUUAGUAAUAGAUCAGUGGUAUUACUUACAUAUUAUAAACUAUUAAAAAUAAAAGAUAAAAUCAAGAGGAUUUUUAGGUGAACUAUAUAUAUUUAAAUGAUUAAAAGGUAGAUUUUGUAAUGAAAUAUUUUGGUAUAGCAUAUCCCUUUGCAAAUGUCUACACUACACAUUUACAUAUACUUGCCACACAUUUUUAACAGCUGGUACAGACUAAAUACCAAUUUACCAAGCAUUUAAUAUCACAUAACACUAAUAAAUUGUGUGCCAAAAAUAAUGAUCUUACAUAAUAAGAACUAUGACUGUCCCCCUUUUGCAGAUGAGAAACCUGAAGCAGUAUUAAGAGGUUAAAUAACCUAAAUAACUAUGGCAUGGUUACCCAGCUUAAAUGAAAGCCAGAACUCAAAUCCAAAUAUUCUGACUCACACUGUACCCUUAGCCAUUUCUCUCCCUAUAUUUUCUCCCCUUAACUUCAAAUUUUCCACUUACCUUUGAUAAAAUAUUAAGCAUUUUUCUACAGUAAAUGCUUCUAAAUGCUUAAAAAAAAAAAAAAACCCUCUAGUGACUAUCCAUUUCAGAUUUUUCCAUACUCAUACUAAUUUUUCAAACAUGCUUUUUACAGAAAUGUACCAUUUCACAGUUGUCCAAUCAUUUAAAGAACAUUUAUAAGACAUCUCUGGAUGCCCUCUAAAUUGGUAGUUCUUAACUUAGGCCAAGCCCUUUUGAGACUGAUAAAAGCUGCUGACAUCUUCUCAAAGAAAGGCCCACAUAAAAUUUUGCAUAUGAUCUCAUUGGCCUGACUGGAGAACACCCCCAGAGAAAAACUGGCCUUAAACUCCCUGUACAAAUACCAAGAUCCAGGAGUUCCCAUGGUAGCUCAGCGGUUAAUGAAUCUGACUAGCAUCCACGAGGACACAGGUUCCAUCCCUGGCCUCACUCAGUGGGUUAAGGAUCUGGUGUUGCCAUGAACUGUGGUGUAGGUCGCAAACAUGGCUUGGAUCCUGCACUGCUGUGGUUGUGGUAUAUAUAGGCUGGCAGCUACAGCUCCAAUUCAUCCCCUAGCCUGGGAACCUCCAUAUGCCACAGGCAUGGCCCUAAAGAGCAAAAGGAAAAAAAAAUAAUAAUACAAUGAUCCAACCAAAGGCACCAAUUCUUAGCCCUCACUUUAUAGUCUCCUUCAUUUAUAUAAAUUCUACUGUUGCUAUUUCAACUUAAUUCCCAUAAUUGAGUACUCACCAUAACCAAGUUACUGUGUUAAGACACCACAAAAAUCCAAAAGAGCUGAACUGUCUCUGCUCUCAAAACUACCAUUCUACAACAAAAAGGAUGAGCCAAGCAUUCAAAUAAUGUAUUUUUCAGAACAGUUCAGAGGCCUCCUUUAGCAGAAACUCAUGCAGACCCUGGAACACCUUCAUGGUAAAACCUAGCCUUGUUUUGCCAUUGAGGAAUUAAGGGUCAAAGACAUUACUUAAAAUCGUAAUAUAGGUAGCAAUUCUAAGAUCUGAAUUGUGUCCUCCAACACUUGAUUACAAGCUUUAUACUUGUAAUCAAUACUGAUUUGCAAUAUUCUAUGUCCUUUACCUAGAGAAUAGAGCCAUAAAUGAUAGAAAAAUGAAAAAUGCAAAUAUGAGAAUUAAAAAGAAAUUAAAACCAAAUUUAGAAAGACUAGAAAAAAAAUUGUUGUAGCAUUCUGAUGGGUUUUGAAAGGUUGUCAACAAAAAUCUGAAGCAACUAUUGUGCAUCAUGGUAUGAUCAAAAAGAAAAACAGGAAAAACCAAUCUGCUAAAUGAAGCUCAAUGAAGAAAAUGUGAGCAGGUACAUUUAGGUCAUAAAAUCCUUGGUUCUCUCUCUCAGAUGACUUGCUCUGGGAGAAACUAGAUGCUAUGUUCUAAGAACACAAGAACAGCCUUAUGGAGAUACUGACUUGGUGAGUAACUGAGGCCUCCUGCCAAAAGCUAAAUUAAAUGAGCCAUCCUGGGAGUGGAUCCAGCCCCAGUCAAUCCUUCAGAUGACUGCAGUGCUGGCCAACACUUACUACAACAUAAGAUUCUGAGCCAGAACCAUCCAGAAAACACUCUCCAUUCUUUUGUUUUCGUUUUUGUUUUUUUGUCUUUUUGCCUUUUCUAGGGCCGCUUCUGCAGCAUAUGGAGGUUCCGAUUAAAUAUAAGAGAAUAAUUUUUUCUUUUUUAAGUAAAGAAAAGUGAUGGUUGGGGUCUUCUCCCUGAACAAGGAAGUUCUGUUAAAUCCAGGCGAGACCAGCCAUGUUGGAAAACACUUGUCAAUUAUAGUUCUGACAAGUAUCCGCGAACACGGUUGGACCAAGCUAACCUUGUGUACCGAGGUGUGUACAUCAAGGCCCUCUUCGGCUCCGUCAGAGGAUCUGGGCCUACUUUGGGGAUUGUUUCCGAGUUAGAGCCGUCCUUCGGUCCGAACCGAGUGCAGAGCCGAGGGGAAAGAGGGCGGGGAAAGGAGAGUUGGGGGGGAAAGGGUUUGAGAGUUGGAAGCCGCUAUCCGCAGCGAGAGGGGCGCGGCGGUCGGGAGGUUUCCGAGUUGAGCGCCGGGGG
ensembl:lncRNA